rnacentral:rRNA from 1 species
UCGAACGGUAACAGGAAGCAGCUUGCUGCUUCGCUGACGAGUGGCGGACGGGUGAGUAAUGUCUGGGAAACUGCCUGAUGGAGGGGGAUAACUACUGGAAACGGUAGCUAAUACCGCAUAACGUCGCAAGACCAAAGAGGGGGACCUUCGGGCCUCUUGCCAUCGGAUGUGCCCAGAUGGGAUUAGCUAGUAGGUGGGGUAACGGCUCACCUAGGCGACGAUCCCUAGCUGGUCUGAGAGGAUGACCAGCCACACUGGAACUGAGACACGGUCCAGACUCCUACGGGAGGCAGCAGUGGGGAAUAUUGCACAAUGGGCGCAAGCCUGAUGCAGCCAUGCCGCGUGUAUGAAGAAGGCCUUCGGGUUGUAAAGUACUUUCAGCGGGGAGGAAGGGAGUAAAGUUAAUACCUUUGCUCAUUGACGUUACCCGCAGAAGAAGCACCGGCUAACUCCGUGCCAGCAGCCGCGGUAAUACGGAGGGUGCAAGCGUUAAUCGGAAUUACUGGGCGUAAAGCGCACGCA